UUGUGGACCAGUAUGAACGGCUUAAUUUAUCAAAUAAGUUUGUUUAGUUUAAUGUGAAAUUAAAGAUUAAGUAAUAAUUCUUUGAUAUAUUAUGGGACGAUAAGACCCUAAAAGCUUUGUAAAAUGAGUUUGCAUAGUGAUUAUACUUAAUUUUAAUUAACUGGGGUAGUUAAUAUUUUUAAAUUAUGUAUUUAUUAAUAGGUCCUUUAAAUAAAGAUUUUAUGGGUUAGUUACUUUAGGGAUAACAGUGCUAUAUAUUUAGGGAGACCAGAUCUAUAAAUAUGCUUGCUACCUCGAUGUUGAAUUAGAUUAUCUAUACGGACAAAAAAUGUAUGAGAAAGUUUGUUCAACUUUUAAAUUUCUACAUGAUCUGAGUUCAAACCGG
rnacentral:rRNA from 1 species